rnacentral:rRNA from 1 species
CAGCCGCCACGGGAAUACGUAGGGUGCGAGCGUUAAUCGGAAUUACUGGGCGUAAAGCGUGCGCAGGCGGUACGUUAAGACAGAUGUGAAAUCCCCGGGCUUAACCUGGGAACUGCAUCUGUGACUGGCGAGCUAGAGUAUGGCAGAGGGGGGUAGAAUUCCACGUGCAGCAGUGAAAUGCGUAGAGAUGUGGAGGAAUACCGAUGGCGAAGCAGCCCCCUGGGCCAAUACUGACGCUCAUGCACGAAAGCGUGGGGAGCAAACAGGAUUAGAUACCCGCGUAGUCCCUGUCUCUUAUACC